rnacentral:lncRNA from 1 species
CAACAGAUUGAAACUGAUGAAGAGCUAGAAGGAGUUAACUGAUGAGUAGACAUUACAACAUUUCUUAUAUUUGCAAGAUGAAGCUGAAAGUCCCAUGCAGGAUGAUGCUUCUCUACAGUGGAUGAUGAAGGCAUGCAGAUUACAAACCCAGGAGAGGAACAAAGAACAGAUAUUGACAGAAUCACUAUAUCUAGAGAUGCGCGUGGGCCUACUACACUUCAUACAAGCAAGUGUGCUAAUAUACAAUACUUGGGUUAUCAUUACAGCCCUUUCUUCUGAAAACUAGGCUACAACUUUAUUGAUGAAUGCAGGAGACACCUACAUGGGACUACGUCUUGAAGAUGCCACCCUCAUAUAAUGAAAGAGGACAGUAGAGAUGGGUUUAAACUUGAAUAUUUACAUGAUAUUUAUUUAUUAUUUGUAUUAUAUGUUUGUAGAAUACCACAAUCAAUCAAGCUAAUGAAUUUAUCAUCAUGUCAACUUUCAAAUGAUUAAAGAUAACUAAUCAUCAAUGAAUAAACAUUAACAUUUUAACAACGUCAACUACCAUC